AGCCUCCUCAGGUCAUCCAUCGUCCUCGAAGGAUCCAUCCUGAGGCAUCAACUGAAAAUUAUGGCUCCUGAGAAAGAAUAAAGCACACUGUUCACUGCCAGGAUGAGUGUCCCUGUGGCAGCAUCUAGAGCUUGCCUGUUGCUCCUGCUAACGACCUCUGUCCCCCGUGUGGCCCUUUCUUUCUGUCACUUCUGUAGCUGUACUGUUGACAACUCUUCUCUAGGUGUCUCUGAAGCCCUGAAAGGCCUCUCAGCUUGGCAUGGCCCCCCGCCCCGCCCCAGCUCGCUCUCUUGAUGCCCAUGUGUGUGACUUGACAGCAUUCCUGCCUUGCUGGCCCACUGCCCCACUCCAAGGAAGGACGCUCUCAAGGUCCAGGUCCCUGGCAGGGAGGAAAGGAGGUUGGUUCCUGACAGAGUUGUGAGGAGGAUGGAGAGGAGAAGACCCUGGCGCAGACCCCCACCUGGCCCCACCUCCUGCGAGGGUAUCACUGUUGGUUCACUCUGACUCUGUAUUCACCUGACGUGCUGAGGAGCCUGGGCAGGCUCUCGUGAUCACACCCGCUCUGCUGGGCUGGCCCUUGUACCAGCAAGGAGGCCCAGGAGGCUCCAGUGCUUCUGCUCCUGCUCUGUUCACCCCUCCCCCGUGCCUGGUGUUCACACAGGCUCCCAGUGGCCUGGGACUGAUGUCUUCUUACUUACCAACAGUGUCAGGGCAACAUCAGUGGAAUGAGAACCCUGCUGAGCACAUGGGGCAGCUGUUUCCGUGGGACCUGCUGUCCUGACCUGGGAGUGCCAUGCUGGGGACAUGCUGAGGACCACAGGAGGUGCAGGAGUGGCCUCCAGGGGCACAGCCCACCUCCACUGACCCCCUG
rnacentral:lncRNA from 1 species